rnacentral:rRNA from 1 species
UACGUAGGGAGCAAGCGUUGUCCGGAAUCAUUGGGCGUAAAGCGCGCGUAGGUGGCUUCGUAAGUCCGUUGUGAAAGUCAAAGGCUCAACCUUUGAAUGCCGAUGGAUACUGCGGAGCUAGAGUACGGAAGAGGCGAGUGGAAUUCCCGGGUGUAGGCGGUGAAAUGCGCAGAAUAUCAGGAGGAACACCGGUGGCGAAGGCGGGUCUCUGGGCCGAUGACUGACGCUGAGGAGCGAAAGCGUGGGGAGCGAACAGG